rnacentral:rRNA from 1 species
CUUGCUCUUAUAAGUUAGUGGCGCACGGGUGAGUAAUAUAUAGCUAAUCUGCCUCUUAGUAGAGGAUAACAGUCGGAAACGAUUGCUAAUACUCUAUACUUCUGCUUUGCAUAAGUAAAGUAGAGAAAGUUUUUCGCUAAGAGAUGAGGCUAUACUGUAUCAGCUAGUUGGUAAGGUAACGGCUUACCAAGGCUAUGACGCAUAACUGGUCUGAGAGGAUGAUCAGUCACAUUGGAACUGAGACACGGUCCAAACUCC